GAUGAACGCUAGCGGCGUGCCUAAUACAUGCAAGUCGAGCGAACAGACGAGGAGCUUGCUCCUCUGACGUUAGCGGCGGACGGGUGAGUAACACGUGGAUAACCUACCUAUAAGACUGGGAUAACUUCGGGAAACCGGAGCUAAUACCGGAUAAUAUACUGAACCGCAUGGUUCAAUAGUGAAAGACGGUUUUGCUGUCACUUAUAGAUGGAUCCGCGCCGCAUUAGCUAGUUGGUAAGGUAACGGCUUACCAAGGCGACGAUGCGUAGCCGACCUGAGAGGGUGAUCGGCCACACUGGAACUGAGACACGGUCCAGACUCCUACGGGAGGCAGCAGUAGGGAAUCUUCCGCAAUGGGCGAAAGCCUGACGGAGCAACGCCGCGUGAGUGAUGAAGGUCUUCGGAUCGUAAAACUCUGUUAUUAGGGAAGAACAAAUGUGUAAGUAACUAUGCACGUCUUGACGGUACCUAAUCAGAAAGCCACGGCUAACUACGUG
rnacentral:rRNA from 1 species